rnacentral:rRNA from 1 species
CCUACGGGAGGCAGCAGUAAGGAAUAUUGGUCAAUGGGCGGAAGCCUGAACCAGCCAUGCCGCGUGCAGGAAGACGGCCCUACGGGUUGUAAACUGCUUUUGCAGGGGAAUAAACCUUCGUAUGUAUACGAAGUUGAAUGUACUCUGAGAAUAAGGAUCGGCUAACUCCGUGCCAGCAGCCGCGGUAAUACGGAGGAUCCAAGCGUUAUCCGGAUUUAUUGGGUUUAAAGGGUGCGUAGGCGGCCUGUUAAGUCAGGGGUGAAAGACGGUAGCUUAACUAUCGCAGUGCCCUUGAUACUGAUGGGCUUGAAUGUACUAGAGGUAGGCGGAAUGUGACAAGUAGCGGUGAAAUGCAUAGAUAUGUCACAGAACACCAAUUGCGAAGGCAGCUUACUAUGGUAUGAUUGACGCUGAGGCACGAAAGCGUGGGGAUCAAACAGGAUUAGAUACCCUGGUAGUCCACGCCCUAAACGAUGAUACUCGAUGUUAGCGAUAUACAGUUAGCGUCAAAGCGAAAGCGUUAAGUAUUCCACCUGGGGAGUACGCCCGCAAGGUGAACUCAAAUGAAUUGAGNGNGAGAGAGACGACGACGAGGGAGGAGG